rnacentral:lncRNA from 1 species
UUUAUUUUUCUCUGCAAAAUUGAUUUAAAGGCUCUUUUAAUGCAUAUUUUAUAUCUUUAUUCAUGGAAAUUUUCAAAAUUACACUAUAUUGAAUGCUUAUAAAAGCCUAAAGAAUUCUACAGAAUUUUUUAGAUACACACUCACAACGAAUUUAUUUUGUUCUCGAAAAUUUUUUCCUUUUUCUCUCCAUAUUUUCAUAUGUUUCUGUGAUAGAUGAAGACAAGAUUUUGUUCGUUGAUCAUUAUAGAUGUGCUGCUGUUUCGAUCAUCUUGUUGUUGUAUCCCGGGAGACAAUUGACCUACGUUUCUCCAAGUACCAUAGGAGCGGCCGAAUCUGUCUUAAGGAAACUGUAUUAACAGGCCUCAACAUCUAGUAAAACUCGAUUUUCUUAUUUGAUUUCUAGUUUUCAUAAUCUUGUUUAUUUAGUUUUUUUUUUCCAUAU